rnacentral:tRNA from 2 species
GGGGCAGUAGCUCAGUGGUAGAGUACUGCAUUUGCAAUGCAGGGGUCGCGGGUUCGAAUCCCGCCUGCUCCA